AUGCAACAUCUCCUUGCUGACUGCCCCUUCUCCAGGCAGGUUUGGUUCGACAUCAUCUUCUGGUGCAGACUUCCAAUCCAACCCCCCGAGCAAGGCAUGCCUUUCAUCGAAUGAUGGGCGCGCUCGAGCACUGCCUUACCUCACUCUAUGCGCAAAGGGCUAAACGCCAUUGUCUCCCUGACGGCGUGGGAGAUCUGGAAACACCGAAACAACGUCAUCUUUGACGAUGCUCGCCCCUCUACCCAGAAGCUGCUAGACCUAAUUCGGGGCGAGGCACGGAUGUGGGCAAGGGCUGGUGCAGCCGGAGUUGCUAACAUCAUCGACACCGGAUGA
rnacentral:rRNA from 1 species